GUUAAAUGCCAAUUAUCAAAGCUGACAAGAAGGAAAAAAAAUGUAAAUCAUCAACACCUAGACAUAAAAGUGUUCAGCUCAAGAGUGAAAAGUAAUACUCCAGAAUAAUGGCCAUGAAGAGGCUCUUUGAGUUGGCAACGGGUGUAAGAGAAAGAACACAAUUCUGUCACUAGAUGAGAAAGAGGAAAAACAACUUCACUUGCUCUAGAUAUUUUCCGGGUUUAAGGACUAUCAUUUUUAAAUAAAA
rnacentral:misc_RNA from 1 species